UCUCCGUAGGUGAACCUGCGGNNNNAUCAUUACACAAUAACCAGGCGGGCUGGACACCCCCCGCUGGGCACUGCUUCACGGCGUGCGCGGCGGGGCCGGCCCUGCUGAAUUAUUCACCCGUGUCUUUUGCGUACUUCUUGUUUCCUGGGUGGGCUCGCCCGCCCUCAGGACCAACCACAAACCUUUUGCAAUAGCAAUCAGCGUCAGUAACAACGUAAUUAAUUACAACUUUCAACAACGGAUCUCUUGGUUCUGGCAUCGAUGAAGAACGCAGCGAAAUGCGAUACGUAGUGUGAAUUGCAGAAUUCAGUGAAUCAUCGAAUCUUUGAACGCACAUUGCGCCCUUUGGUAUUCCAAAGGGCAUGCCUGUUCGAGCGUCAUUUGUACCCUCAAGCUUUGCUUGGCGUUGGGCGUCUUUUGUCUCCAGUUCGCUGGAGACUCGCCUUAAAGUCAUUGGCAGCCGGCCUACUGGUUUCGGAGCGCAGCACAAGUCGCGCUCUUUGCCAGCCAAGGUCAGCGUCCAGCAAGCCUUUUUUUCAACCUUUGACCUCGGAUCAGGUAGGGAUACCCGCUGAACUUAAGCAUAUCA
rnacentral:rRNA from 1 species